rnacentral:tRNA from 1 species
GUCUUCUUAGUAUAAAAAAAUAUAAAUGACUUCCAAUUAUUUUAUCUUAGUUAAAACCUAAGAGAAGACA